CUACUUACGAAGGCAACCAUAACCACCCACUCCCACCCGCCGCCAUGGCAAUGGCUUCCACCACAACAGCCGCCGCCACUAUGUUACUCUCCGGCUCAACCUCCACCACCGACCACGCCGCUACCAUUACUAGUACUACUACUCAUGACCUGUUAACCGCCAACUUGCUAUCCAGAGCGAUUCUUCCGCCGCCAAACACGGGUCUCAACAACAACCACGUGGCAACCAUCUCGGCUUCGGCUC
rnacentral:lncRNA from 1 species